rnacentral:rRNA from 1 species
GACGGAGGAUGCAAGCGUUAUCCGGAAUGAUUGGGCGUAAAGCGUCCGCAGGUGGCAGUUCAAGUCUGCUGUCAAAGACCGGGGCUUAACUUCGGAAAGGCAGUGGAAACUGAACAGCUAGAGUAUGGUAGGGGCAGAGGGAAUUCCUGGUGUAGCAGUGAAAUGCGUAGAGAUCAGGAAGAACAUCGGUGGCGAAGGCGCUCUGCUGGACCAUAACUGACACUCAGGGACGAAAGCUAGGGGAGCGAAUGGG